rfam:Pan troglodytes isolate Yerkes chimp pedigree #C0471 (Clint) chromosome 2B, whole genome shotgun sequence.
GCUGGGUGUGAUGGCACACACCUGUAAUCCCAACUACUUGGGAGGCUGAGGCAGGAGAAUUGCUUGAGCCCAGGAGGUGGAGGUUGCAGUGAGCCGAGAUUGUGCCACUGCACUCCAGCCUGGGCGACAAAGCAAGACUGUGUCUCGG